GUGGGGAAUAUUGGGCAAUGGGCGAAAGCCUGACCCAGCAACGCCGCGUGAAGGAAGAAGGUUUUCGGAUCGUAAACUUCUAUCCUUGGUGAAGAUAAUGACGGUAGCCAAGAAGGAAGCCCCGGCUAACUACGUGCCAGCAGCCGCGGUAAUACGUAGGGGGCAAGCGUUGUCCGGAAUGAUUGGGCGUAAAGGGCGCGUAGGCGGCCCGGUAAGUCUGAAGUGAAAGUCCUGCUUUUAAGGUGGGAAUUGCUUUGGAUACUGUCGGGCUUGAGUGCAGGAGAGGUAAGCGGAAUUCCCGUUGUAGCGGUGAAAUGCGUAGAGAUCGGGAGGAACACCAGUGGCGAAGGCGGCUUACUGGACUGUAACUGACGCUGAGGCGCGAAAGUGUGGGGAGCAAACAGGAUUAGAAACCCUUGUAGUCC
rnacentral:rRNA from 1 species